UAUCUAUACUGAAAUUCCAGCUACUCAUUUUUAAUCAGUCACCGAGUUUUAGGAAAACUUUUUGGCAAGACUGAAGAAGCUCCAAACAGAAUGAAGUGUGUCUUAAUAUUCCUUUUAACAUUCUUUGUUUUAUGCACCAAUUUUGAAGAAUGUGGUGCCUCAACGGAAGUAAUGAAAAUAGAAGAGAGGGUGACAGUAUUCGACGAAAUGAAUGCAUUAACUCGUCUACCUGGAGACAUACUCAGAAGGGACAUUUUUGGAGCUGCGAUGGACGGCAUAAUUCUGCUACAAUUUCUGCCUUUCCCUUGGCCAAUACCGUCUCUACUGAGCAUUUGUUAUACAAUAUUGAAAUUUUUUCAACCUGCUUAUUGGUGGCUUUUCCCAAGUACCAAACCAGCAAAUGUCAAAGGGUACGGUUUCCAGAGUUUAUUCUGAUAAAAAAUACUUCUUUUCUUCGUCAAGUGAAUUGGAAUGUAUUAUUAUUUCAAUUUCGAAGAAAGAAAUUACGUGUUAGUGACAGAACAUUGAGACUUCAGGCACUCAUCUUCAGUCAAUCAUUUUCAACAGUUGAGCUUGAAUGUACUUAAAUAUAUUUCUGAAUAAAGCUAUACAAAUAAA